rnacentral:rRNA from 1 species
AGUGAACGCUGGCGGUAGGCCUAACACAUGCAAGUCGAACGGCAGCACAGUAAUAGCUUGCUCUUACGGGUGGCGAGUGGCGGACGGGUGAGGAAUACAUCGGAAUCUACUUUGUCGUGGGGGAGAACGUAGGGGAACUUACGCUAAUACCGCAUACGACCUACGGGUGAAAGCAGGGGAUCUUCGGACCUUGCGCGAUUGAAGGAGCCGAUGUCGGAUUAGCUAGUUGGCGGGGUAAAGGCCCACCAAGGCGACGAUCCGUAGCUGGUCUGAGAGGAUGAUCAGCCACACUGGAACUGAGACACGGUCCAGACUCCUACGGGAGGCAGCAGUGGGGAAUAUUGGACAAUGGGCGCAAGCCUGAUCCAGCCAUACCGCGUGGGUGAAGAAGGCCUUCGGGUUGUAAAGCCCUUUUGUUGGGAAAGAAAAGCAGCAGGUUAAUACCCCGCUGUUCUGACGGUACCAACAGAAUAAGCACCGGCUAACUUCGUG